rnacentral:misc_RNA from 1 species
GAUGAAGAACGCAGCAAAAUGCGAUACUUGGUGUGAAUUGCAGAAUCCCGUGAACCAUCGAGUCUUUGAACGCAAGUUGCGCCCGAAGCCAUUAGGCCGAGGGCACGCCUGCCUGGGCGUCACACGUCGUUGCCCCCCCAUCUACUCCUUCGGGAUUGCGGGGGGCGGAUGAUGGCCUCCCGUGCGCCUCGUCGCGCGGUUGGCAUAAAUGCCAAGUCCUCGGCGACGCACGCCACGACAAUCGGUGGUUGCGAAACCUCGGUUGCCCGUCGUGUGCGGUCGUCGCGCAUCGAGGGCUCGAAAAAAUUGCCGGGCUCCGGCUCGACUUUCAACGCUACCCCAGGUCAGGCGGGGUUACCCGCUGAAUUUAAGCAUAUCAAUAAGCGGAGGA